rnacentral:rRNA from 1 species
AUUGAACGCUGGCGGCAGGCCUAACACAUGCAAGUCGAGCGGAUGAGGGGAGCUUGCUCCUCGAUUCAGCGGCGGACGGGUGGGUAAUGCCUAGGAAUCUGCCUAGUAGUGGGGGACAACGUUUCGAAAGGAACGCUAAUACCGCAUACGUCCUACGGGAGAAAGUGGGGGAUCUUCGGACCUCACGCUAUUAGAUGAGCCUAGGUCGGAUUAGCUAGUUGGUAGGGUAAAGGCCUACCAAGGCGACGAUCCGUAACUGGUCUGAGAGGAUGAUCAGUCACACUGGAACUGAGACACGGUCCAGACUCCUACGGGAGGCGGCAGUGGGGAAUAUUGGACAAUGGGCGAAAGCCUGAUCCAGCCAUGCCGCGUGUGUGAAGAAGGCCUUCGGGUCGUAAAGCACUUUAAGUUGGGAGGAAGGGCUCAUAGCGAAUACCUGUGAGUUUUGACGUUACCAGCAGAAUAAGCACCGGCUAACUUCGUGCCAGCAGCCGCCGUAA